rnacentral:lncRNA from 1 species
UGUGAAACUUUAAUUACAUUAUUGUUAAUUUUAAUUCAUGGGUUAAUUUUAUACAGAUUUCUACAAACAUAAUGAAUGAGAAAUAUAUUUCUAUAAAGUUCAACUUUUAUAUAUUAUCUCUAUAAAAGUCCUGAGAUGUUUUCAAAUAUAUUCCUACUAUUAGAAUUGUCAGAAAAAUUUAGUUAACCAUAGAUUAAAUACUCAACCUUAGUUAGUUUUUUGACAUUUUUACUCUUCUUAUAUUAUACUGUUAUGAUUUUUGGAGAGACAUAUUUGUAAUGGCAAAAUUAAAAAUAUAAACGGUUCUCUAACUGUUCUCUAACGAUAACAAAGGAGAGGGACGCAGAAACAACAUAUGAAAGUUGAAUCUUGUAGGAAUAUAUUUGUCAUUCACUAUGUUUGUAGGGACCUGUAUGAAAUUAACCAUUAAUUCAUAUUCAUAUGCAGAUAUUAGUAUGUAUUAUUAUCUGAAUAAAAUUCAAUUCAUUGUAUCUGAAUUCGUUUUCGGUGGAUAUGGUACUAAAAAAUUUAGCAUAUAAUACCUAUCUGCAUCUGAAUUUAUAUCAUUUAUAAAAAAAAAAUAUGGGCACGAAAAUGUUUUCGUCAAAUAUUUGAUCGUAUUCGACCGUU